rnacentral:rRNA from 1 species
UACGGGGGGAGCAAGCGUUGUUCGGAUUUACUGGGCGUAAAGGGCGCGUAGGCGGCCACCGCAAGUCGACUGUGAAAUCUCCGGGCUUAACCCGGAAAGGUCAGCCGAUACUGCGGGGCUAGAGUGCAGAAGGGGCAACUGGAAUUCUCGGUGUAGCGGUGAAAUGCGUAGAUAUCGAGAGGAACACCUGCGGCGAAGGCGGGUUGCUGGGCUGACACUGACGCUGAAGCGCGAAAGCUAGGGGAGCGAACGGGA